rfam:Phialocephala scopiformis strain CBS 120377 unplaced genomic scaffold LY89scaffold_20, whole genome shotgun sequence.
GGUGGUAUGGCUGAGUGGUUAAAGCGCGAGAGUGAAAUCUUCGUUCCUUCGGGAUCCAGGGUUCGAUUCCCUGUGCCAUCA